AGCAACUAGAGGAAGGAUCCAAAGGGAUCGCAUUGAUCCUAAUAAAGGUGAAUUACCCCAAUCUUUUCUUAAUAAUUAGCAAACAAAUCAAAAAAAUUUGCUUGGUUUUGGAUCAUGCUAUCUCUUUGGAUUCAUCCUUCGGUAGCU
rnacentral:pre_miRNA from 1 species